rnacentral:rRNA from 1 species
AUAGUAGCUUGCGUACUUGACCUAGCGGCGGACGGGUGAGUAAUGCUUAGGAAUCUGCCUAUUAGUGGGGGACAACAUCUCGAAAGGGAUGCUAAUACCGCAUACGUCCUACGGGAGAAAGCAGGGGACCUUCGGGCCUUGCGCUAAUAGAUGAGCCUAAGUCGGAUUAGCUAGUUGGUGGGGUAAAGGCCUACCAAGGCGACGAUCUGUAGCGGGUCUGAGAGGAUGAUCCGCCACACUGGGACUGAGACACGGCCCAGACUCCUACGGGAGGCAGCAGUGGGGAAUAUUGGACAAUGGGGGGAACCCUGAUCCAGCCAUGCCGCGUGUGUGAAGAAGGCCUUUUGGUUGUAAAGCACUUUAAGCGAGGAGGAGGCUACCGAGAUUAAUACUCUUGGAUAGUGGACGUUACUCGCAGAAUAAGCACCGGCUAACUCUGUGCCAGCAGCCGCGGUAAUACAGAGGGUGCAAGCGUUAAUCGGAUUUACUGGGCGUAAAGCGCGCGUAGGUGGCCAAUUAAGUCAAAUGUGAAAUCCCCGAGCUUAACUUGGGAAUUGCAUUCGAUACUGGUUGGCUAGAGUAUGGGAGAGGAUGGUAGAAUUCCAGGUGUAGCGGUGAAAUGCGUAGAGAUCUGGAGGAAUACCGAUGGCGAAGGCAGCCAUCUGGCCUAAUACUGACACUGAGGUGCGAAAGCAUGGGGAGCAAACAGGAUUAGAUACCCUGGUAGUCCAUGCCGUAAACGAUGUCUACUAGCCGUUGGGGCCUUUGAGGCUUUAGUGGCGCAGCUAACGCGAUAAGUAGACCGCCUGGGGAGUACGGUCGCAAGACUAAAACUCAAAUGAAUUGACGGGGGCCCGCACAAGCGGUGGAGCAUGUGGUUUAAUUCGAUGCAACGCGAAGAACCUUACCU